GUACAAGUGCUGUGACAGAAAAACCGCCGGCUCCGCGCAGCGGCAAAAGAGCCAACGGGAACGCCGGGUGCUGCGACCAUGACCCCGGCACUGGAGGACGUGGGAUGGAGAAUGGGACACACGGAGCGAGAAGGGAAACGUUUCGUGCAGACCAACUAGCGCCGCCGCCACCGGAAAACUGACUCGCCAGUGCUGCCAAUGAAGUGCGUGUGAGAAACCGAUGACUGGUGGGAGGAGCAGCGCUGGGCGCUGGACCCGCGAGUGUGAGAAUCUGGCGGCGCUAGGACCCUUCAGGCGCGGGCACGAGGCGAAACCCAGCGCUGUUGCCAAAGACAAAUGCGCGUUCUUUUGGGCGCCAUCAGCGGUGCAGCCAGUGAUCACUCCCAGGCUCUGAGAAACUAGAGAUGUCAGCCACAAACCCUCCGUUCAGGGAAAGUUUGCGGCGCCGUGACGGAUCGACUGGCACUGGGUGCAACAUUGUCUUGUGGCCUAGAGACUAGAAUAUAAAAACAAAAACCAAAUACAAAACUGCUGCUGGCAUUACUCCUACUCUCCCCCCUCAAGUCAGUGGCUUCAGGCUUAAGAAAACCUGUAUUUUUCUUGGCUGUGCCAUAAUCCGUAAUUACCGAGGCCCCCAGCGACCCACCCAGUGUGAUUCGCAGAGGGAAAGGAGCUGGAAUAAGGACCGUGAAUGGGGCGGAUGUGGCUCGUCCUGGGAGAGAGCUAAAGCUUAUGCUGGUCGCAAACAGCAUUACAUUGCAGGAAACUGCUCUUCCAAUGGCCGUGGCUGGGUCCUUCCACACCAUCCCUCUGCCCUAGACCUUUGUCCCCGUUCAGAGCCAUCAGAGAUUCUAGGAGAGCUGUCGACAACCGCAUCUCUUCGGAACUUGGAAACUCUAGGUUCAAGAUCUCCGUGGAGAAUGAAAGGCACAGUCGCCUGACCCGGGCAUCAGGCUUGCCCCGCACAUCAAGUCCCUCCCCUACUGGAUGGAACUCUGUGGCAAUCGCUCCUUAUUCUGAUGGUUCACUCUGUCAGAUAUCCUCGAUAUUUGGGGAUAGUAGUUCAAAAACAGCCGGGGAGGAAAAUGGGCUGAAAGAUUCCAGCGUUGGAUGUAGAAUUGACAGCGAGACAUACACCUCCUCUCUAAGCCCAGAGAAAAGCUCAAGUUGUGGUUCUCUGUCUCUAGCAGCAUGAUCUUCAAAAUGCAUCAUUGAUUUCUAUCUUCUGGGAAAUGCAAUGCAGGUGAACUUCUUUUCAUCUUAGCAAAAAAGUUGCAAUCAGCACCCCCUAGACGGAAGGAAUAUCCUGUCUUAAUGGGAGUCCAUAGGAGGCUGCAGGCUGCUCCCCUACAGAGACUAACAUCAAGGAGGAAAUCAGUGGUGCUUCAGGAUAUUGUGAAUUUGGUCUUCUGAAAGCAGAAUUCUGAUUUAACAGUAUAAUGGAAUUCGUGAACGUCAUGAUGCUAAUUUGAACCAACAAGCACCCUUGUGAGAGGAAUCUGCUUUUCCUCAAGUCUGAAGAACACCAGGAGAAUCUUUCUGUAUGGAGUUACCAGGAAUCCUCUGCUAAGGAAAGUGAAAGGGAAGAUGCAAUUUCUCCUGGGAAGGGGGGAUGCUGAUGUAGAGGGUGACAAGUAAUAUGCCAUGAAGGAUUCAGUCACCUGGUUAGAUUUAGAGUUAGAGUUAUGGUUAAGGAAGAAGGAAGGAAAAAAGGCAGAAGAGGAAGAAAGGAAGCAAGAAAAGAUAAAAUUUAUUCUAAGAUAAAAUUUGUGAAUUUUGCUAAACUA
rnacentral:lncRNA from 1 species